GAUGAACGCUAGCGGCAGGCUUAAUACAUGCAAGUCGAGGGGCAGCAUAAGUAGCAAUACUUGAUGGCGACCGGCAAACGGGUGCGGAACACGUACGCAACCUUCCUUUAAGUGGGGAAUAGCCCGGGGAAACCCGGAUUAAUACCCCGUAAUAUUAUGAUGUGGCAUCACAUUAUAAUUAUAGAUUCAUCGCUUAAAGAUGGGCGUGCGCCUGAUUAGGUAGUUGGCGGAGUAAUAGCCCACCAAGCCUGCGAUCAGUAACUGGUGUGAGAGCACGACCAGUCACACGGGCACUGAGACACGGGCCCGACUCCUACGGGAGGCAGCAGUAAGGAAUAUUGGUCAAUGGACGCAAGUCUGAACCA
rnacentral:rRNA from 1 species